rnacentral:misc_RNA from 1 species
GAUGAAGAACGCAGCGAAAUGCGAUAACUAAUGUGAAUUGCAGAAUUCCGUGAAUCAUCGAGUCUUUGAACGCACAUUGCGCCCCCUGGUAUUCCGGGGGGCAUGCCUGUCCGAGCGUCAUUGCUGCCCAUCAAGCACGGCUUGUGUGUUGGGUCCCGUCCCCCUCUCCCGGGGGACGGACCCGAAAGGCAGCGGCGGCACCGCGUCCGGUCCUCGAGCGUAUGGGGCUUUGUCACCCGCUCUUGUAGGCCCGGCCGGCGCUUGCCGACACCCAACCAUUUUUUUCAGGUUGACCUCGGAUCAGGUAGGGAUACCCGCUGAACUUAAGCAUAUCAAUAACGGAGGA